CGGGACCAGACAAGUGAAUCCGAGGGUCUGUCUCUGUAUGUGUUAUCAUCAGACUGGUUCCCCACGACCCACCACUGCCUGCCAAGAUGAAUGUAAAUGAAGCAGAAGUCUCACAGGCUGGGCACAGUAGGAAGAAGCAUUCUCAUCAUGGCCACUUAGCUUGCUCGAGAUUACACAGAACCAUGCCUCUGGUUUCCUGGUACAGUGCUCCGGCAGGUGACGGAUGCUCCUGGGUGACAUAUCACGGAUCUCUCUGAGGUAAGACGUGCCUUUUGCCUUCCACCUUCUGCCGUGAUUGUGAGGACCCGCCAGCCACGUGGAACUAGCCCUAGAUUUGAAAAAAGAUGCUUCUGUGGUUCCAGGCAAGAUGGCUGACUAGGAACAGCUCCGGUCUGCAGCUCCCAGCGAGACCAACACAGAAGGCAGGCCGUCAUCCUUAAGCCAUAAAAUGCCCUGUAGAGGUGGAACAGGUCAGAAGACUGAAUGCUCAAGCUGCAUGUGGAGUUAACAUGGCAAUAACACAGAAUGUGAUGACAGCAGACUCUAGAAUCUCAUGACAUCAGUUUAUAUUAGAACUGUUCUGUAGCUCACCUUUCUCCGAAGUUGGAAUUCACAUGGCUGUGGAAUGUGUUUCUACCUUCACUGUUGGAGGAGUCAUCCAACAAAUCCAGGGGUGGGAAAACAGCUGGAUAAGGACAAUAACAUAUAUGACAGCUGUACAAUCCUUUACCUUGGACCAUCUCUCUCACCUUGGACCAUCUCUCUCACCAGCUGCCUUCCACACCCCUGUACUACUAACUCCUUCUUCUUUCACUUGAACAUUCUUUACCCCAGAUUUUUGCAUCCUUCAGUGAUACGGAAAAGCAAAUGUUAGAGACUUUGGCCUAAAGAUACAUUGAGAAGGGAAAAAAAGUUUAAUAAGUAGCAAAUGUCAUUGCCACCACAAAGGAAACAAGCAUCGUUCACCUUGGCAGUAAAGUAUGCCAUCUGACUGCUUGGGCCAUUUGCACAGAUUACGGGGAUAUGCUGUGGCACUAUUUAUCACUCCUCAGA
ensembl:lncRNA RMDN2-AS1 RMDN2 antisense RNA 1